CGUUACUGCACCCCGAGUGUCGGAUCCCCCCGAACGCACACCACUUCACUCACACAAUUAAGGCUGGGAGAUGGCACUGCAUUUAACUGUCAGACUCGGAGCGGUGGCAGCCCCGCAGCCACAAAGAGAAGCCUUAAAUGAGAACAUGUUUCUACACCGCGUUUGAGGAAGUUUGGCUCGGAGCUACGCGCUGAUUAGUAUCAGAUCUCCUUCACUCGCCUCGCCACAAUCUUGUCACAUCUGGCUGACAAAUCCUCAGGAGCGCAGGCAAAGCCAGGCGGCGGCGCGGCUCCGGGUCUGGGCGGCGGCUCCCGGGGAGCAGUGGGGACCCCGCAGUGGCCGCUGCCUCCUCCUCGUCCGCCGCCGCCCGCGGCCCCCAGCCUCCAGCCUCCAGCCCCGCCGCCGCCGCCGCCGCCCGGCUCCCAGCGCUCGACCGACGGGGCGCUCCCGAGACCGGCGAGCGCGGCGCUGGCGGGUCCUGAAGCCGGGCCGGGCCGUGAAGGGGGCUCGAAGUCGGGGGCCGGGGGCUUCCCGUCCGGGCGCUUCCCGGCAAACCCCUGAAGGAAGCGCCGGGCGCAGCCGCGGGUUCCGCAGCCCGGGCCCACUUCCUGUCACUCCAGGGAAACCUCGGAGCGGCGGACGCGGCUCGGCUCGGCUUCCACCCUGGACCCCGAGCGCCCUAGCCCCGUCCCAGCGCCUUCUGAAGGGCGCGCCGCCUGGUGCGGAGCCGGGCGAGGACUCCAAGUCGGCCGCGACGCUGGCCCAAUCUGCCCGCCACACGGCCCGCGCUCGCUCUAUGUCCCGGACCUGUCUAGCGAUUUUUCAGUCGUGGGUUUUAUGUUUUUGUUUUGGUGUACAAAAAACUUGUCCCGCAGUGGACGGGAAAGCCCCCUCACGGCCACCCGCCGGUCUCCGCAAUUCUCCUGAGUGACCCGAGGCUGCCGCGCGCCCCGCUCUCCAGAGCAACAAUCCCCCGGGAGAAGGACGGCCAGCGUGAAGUGUCAGCUCUUUCACAAAUUCUGAGAAAAACCAAACCAUAGCUGGCUCUUUGUAUUUGCUGAGAAUAUAUUUUAGAGUGCCCACACAGCAAGAGAGUCUAUGAUUAUUUCACUAAACCACACCAAGCCUCAUAAGGAAAUGAGGAUGAAGAUGUGCUCUUGCUGUCAAGUGGCUUGCGUGCUCAAGUGAGUGAUGUGUCCCUUGCACAUAAGCUACCUGUGUUAUUCCAACUGUCAUGAGGAGGUAACAGGCAUCAAGAAAGGACCCGGGAAACAAUGUGGAAAGUCUUUAGGAGAAAAAAAAGCACCAUCAUUAGACCUGUACUGCACCCAAUGUUUUGGAGAAUUUUUAGGAGGCUGAGUCAGAGUGAUAUAGACAGAACAAACAAGACCGAGUCCUUCUUCAGUGUUAAGACAAGAGAGAACCAAGAAGAUGAAGAAUAUGCAAUCUUUCUCCUGAGGACUUUGCAAUAUGUAGGUGAGACAGUGCGCAAAUGGCUGCAUUUCAUGAGUUGAUGUAGUGCCAGAAAGGAGAAAGAAAUAAAUUCUACAGAAUUACUUCUACUUCUGCUUCUACAUUACUUCUACCAUAGAGGCAACCCUCAUGGAGGUGAGGUAGCAUGUGAGCUAGGCUUGAGAGGCAUUUCAUCCGAGAAGGUAGGGAUUGUAGGUUCAGGUGACAGGCCCUGAGUGGGUAAAGGCAUGGUAAUGGGAGUGAGGAUGGGGGAAGAAAGUGAAGGACAUUUGUUACAGAACAGUGACUUGUCAAUUUAGCUGGGAAGUUGGGCUAAGGAAGACCAUGCUUUGGUUGUUUUAGCACAUCAAAUGCUUUGCCUAGUGCUCCAACUGGAGUUGUCGCUAUACACACCUUUGUUUAUGCAAUCUGCUUUCUCCCAAGAAGCUACCUGAGGGAACCAUGGAAUUAUAUACCUGGCAGUUUGAGAACAAAGGUAAACAAAGGGCAGACACAGCCUGAGGUCAUAGAGUGAGCUGGUAAUAACAUCACAAAUUCCUAAAGGAAAGGGUAGUCUGGUUGCAGCUGCAAACACCUACAGGAAGGAGGUAGGCACCUACUCCGGUUCCAGCAUGCUCCAUUUAAUAUGCUUUUUCUGACUAUAGCAGCAUAUCUGGGUACCCAGUUGGGUCCUUCCAUGCAUCUAGGUUUGAGUUCUCAGUAAAAAUCAAAUUUCCUGCAAGGAGAUUCCUCUCAGGGACCCAAGGGUACCUACAAAUGGUCAAAGUCAUGAGCAAAUAGGCUUCCUCCUGUUCCUUAUCUGUCAUUAAACAGUUGCUAAUUCUGUCUUCCUUUAGUAGAUAACCUUUUUGGGCUAAAUUUGAGGGCAUCUGUAUAGAUACAAAUUUAAAUAGCCACACAUGUGAGAGAAAUAAUGAUGAUGUACGUGUAUGUCAGGCAGUGCGCAUUUAGUUAAAAAACAGAAACUAAUAUAGAACUCAGAGUUCAGUAUUGCAGCCCAUGAUAAAAUAUUAACAAGUGUAAGUUUUUUAUUAGAAUCCAUAAAUAAGGUUUUAUUCAGACACAGCCAUACUUACUUAUUUAUAUUUUGCCUAUGGCUGCUUUUAUUUAUAUAUUUUUUAUUUUUUUUUUAACUUUUAAGUUCAGGGGUACAUGUGCAGGUUUGUUACAUAGGUAAACUUGUGUCAUGGGGGUUUGUUGUACAGUUAUUCAACACCCAGGUAUUAAACCCAGUACCCAUUAGUUAUUUUUCCUGAUCCUCUCCCUCCCUCCACCCUCUGCUAGGCCCCAGUGUGUCUUGUUCCCCUCUAUGUGUCCUUAUGUUCUCAUCAUUUAGCUCUCACUUAUAAGGGAGAACAUGCUAUCGCAUAGUUUUCUAUUCCUGGGUUAGUUUGCUAAGGGUAAUGGUCUCCAGCUCCAUCCAUGUCCCUGCAAAGGACAUGAUCUCAUUCUUUUUAAUGGCUGCAUAGUGUUCCAUGGCGUAUAUGUAUUAUGGCUGCUUUUAUGCUGUAACAGUGAAGUUGAAUCGUUGAAGCAGGCCUACCAAGUCUAACAUAUUGACUGUGUGGCCCUUUGCAGGAAAACUGUGGUAACCUUGGUCUAAGUAAACAGUCAGUUACAGUUAGGAUCCUGUUUAAUCCUCAUGAUUCGACAGUUAAGUAGUAUUAAGAACAUUUUGCCAAAGAACAGGAUAAAUAAAUUGUCCAUGGUCACAUAGCUAGUAAGGGGAAGAGCCAGCCUAUCCCCACAGCCUGUUCCCUUUUCAAUAUAUCCCAUUAUCUAGUAUUUAUUGGGUUUUGAGGGUGUUACCUUUAAAAAAAUUUUAGAUUUGGGGGUACAUGUGCCUAAGUUUUAAUAGAAUAGGAAACCAGAUGAUGAAGGCGUAUGUCUGUGUUCAUAAUAAC